rnacentral:rRNA from 1 species
CCUACGGGAGGCAGCAGUGAGGAAUAUUGGUCAAUGGGCGAGAGCCUGAACCAGCCAAGUCGCGUGAAGGAUGAAGGAUCUAUGGUUUGUAAACUUCUUUUAUAUGGGAAUAAAGUGAGGAACGUGUUCCUUUUUGUAUGUACCAUAUGAAUAAGCAUCGGCUAACUCCGUGCCAGCAGCCGCGGUAAUACGGAGGAUGCGAGCGUUAUCCGGAUUUAUUGGGUUUAAAGGGUGCGUAGGUGGUUAAUUAAGUCAGCGGUGAAAGUUUGUGGCUCAACCAUAAAAUUGCCGUUGAAACUGGUAGACUUGAGUAUAUUUGAGGUAGGCGGAAUGCGUGGUGUAGCGGUGAAAUGCAUAGAUAUCACGCAGAACUCCGAUUGCGAAGGCAGCUUACUAAACUACAACUGACACUGAAGCACGAAAGCGUGGGGAUCAAACAGGAUUAGAUACCCUGGUAGUC